AUGGAUGAGGUCACAAGGGGUAUACAAGGAGAUAUCCCAUGGUGUAUGCUCUUUGCGGAUGAUGUGGUGCUAGUUGACGAUAGUUGGACGGGGGUAAAUAGGAAGUUAGAGCUAUGGAGACAAACCUUGGAAUCGAAAGGGUUUAGGCUUAGUAGAACUAAAACCGAGUACAUGAUGUGCGGUUUCAGUACUACUAGCUGUGAGGAGGAGGAGGUUAGCCUUGAUGGCCAGGUGGUACCUCGGAAGGACACCUUUCGGUAUUUGGGGUCAAUGUUGCAGGAGGAUGGGGGUAUUGAUGAAGAUGUGAACCAUCGAGUCAAAGCCGGAUGGAUGAAGUGGCGCCAAGCUUCUGGCAUUCUCUGUGACAAGAGAGUGCCACAAAAGCUAAAAGGCAAGUUCUACAGGACGGCGGUUCGACCCGCAAUGUUGUAUGGCGCGGAGUGUUGGCCGACUAAAAGGCGACAUGUUCAACAGUUAGGUGUGGCGGAGAUGCGUAUGUUGAGAUGGAUGUGUGGCCACACGAGGAAGGAUCGAGUCCGGAAUGAUGAUAUACGAGAUAGAGUUGGGGUAGCACCAAUUGAGGAGAAGCUUGUCCAACAUCGUUUGAGAUGGUUUGGGCAUAUUCAGCGCAGGCCUCCAGAAGCCCCAGUGCAUAGCGGACGGCUAAAGCGUGCGGAGAAUGUCAAGAGAGGGCGGGGUCGACCGAUUUUGACAUGGGAGGAGCCCGUUAAGAAAGACCUGAAGGAUUGGAGUAUCGACAAAGAGCUAGCUAUGAACAGGGGUGCGUGGAAGCUUGCUAUCCAUGUGCCAGAGCCAUGA
rnacentral:rRNA from 1 species